GCCGCGGUGCCCGAGCGGCCAAAGGGGUCGGGCUGCAGACCCGAUGAUCCGGGGUUCGAAUCCCCGCCGCGGCU
rnacentral:tRNA from 1 species